UUACUGCCUCCCUCUUCAGUGUUGUGUGGGAAUGAGCUAGGAGACACAACAUGUAUCAGGUAGAGAUGGUGUGAUGAUAAGUUUUCAACAUUAGUUUGGGGGGAUAAUGUUUUACUAGUAAACAACUAUUUAUUUAACAAUACACAAGCUUUGAAAUGACUUCAUGUGUUUAUUAAAUUGUCUUUUAAAACAAGAUUUGUUAUUUUAGUCAUUGAUAUGAAAAGUGAUUGGAUUAAUGCAUUGAACUGAAUCGAUCUGCCAAUGAAAAAUAAAAGUUUGUACAUAUA